ensembl:lncRNA
CAUCCAGCAAUAUCCAGCUAUUACCCGCAGUCUGCCCAUCUCCUGGGAAACCCAAAAUUCUUCCAUUGGGUAUUCCAGGACUUCCUGCCUGCAGAGACCCUCAGUAGAAGCACUGCACGCCCUGCUGUGAACACUUCCUGGAGGUUCAGAGAGUGAGGCUGUGGACUCGUGCCAUGAAUAAUGAAGACUCUUCUUGUCACUCAGCAUGCAUUCCUCUGGAAGGUUGGGAGACCACAGUAAGAAAACAGUUGUUCUGUCUGCUAGAGAUUAUGAAAUACUCAUCUGUCCUCCAAGAUAACUACAGAGAUUAUGAAAUACUCAUCUGUCCUCCAAGAUAACUACAGUCUUCAAAGGCAUCGAUAUCAGCUGCCUGGGCUCAUUUUCCUUUUUUGAGUGACUGACAUAUUUGGUGUUUUGGCAUCUGGGACAACUGGUUUUUGGUGUUUUUGUUUUGUUUUAGGGAACAGCUUAGUUUUUACUUUGCUUUUAUUUAAGCCAGGUGCCCUUCCAGUUGUUGAAACUACAUGUCCCUCCUUCAUUGGUUAGCUGAAAGGAAAGUCACUGUCUUAUUUUCAUGUUUCCCUGUUGUCUGGAAAGGGUGAGUUGUGCUUUUGUUUCUUUUCUUUGUUUCCUCAUGUUUAAUUCUAUUUUGACAGUCAUAGAACCUUCCUUCCCACUCUGUUUCAUGUAAAAUAUUCUAGGAAUAGGAUCAUUGCCAGACAUGACAUUUACAUUGAGCUGUUUUUUUAUGUUAAGUAUAUAGCAUGAAACUUGAAUGUUUUAAAAAGUCUGAGUUAAUUUGCUAAUUUGAAAGUGAACUACAUUUUUCUUUUUGCCUGAAGGAUUUAAGGGUGUUGUAUAAGAUAAAACCUUUUCCUUUUUAAAAAAAAUUAUUAUUUUUUAAAAAUUACGUAGUUAUUCAUAUGAAAUCAAAAAAUUCUGGCUAAAUAAAUUUCAAGAUGUUAGUGGAAUAAUAAACAUGAUAAUUUGAAAUAUCAUACUAAGAAUGGAAGAAAAAGUGAAGACAGAGAAAGAUAGAAAAUUGGAUUUUUAAAAAAGUUAUUGGGUAUUUUAAAAAGAUGAAUUUAUAGCUAUCAAACAGAGUGUCUAAAUGAUACCAGUUACCUAAGUAGUCAGUGUGUCUGCUGCCUUUAACUUUCACAGAGUUGGUGUCUCGUAGAGAGUUAUAGCAUCCUUAGACUAGAAAAAAGUCACAUUUUACUAGGCAGAGGAAUUGGCUGGGAAGCUCUUUGAAAAUACCUAUGCCAGAAGUUCCCGUCAUGGCGCAGUGGUUAACGAAUCCGAUUAGGAACCAUGGGGUUGCGGGUUCAGUCCCUGCCCUUGCUCAGUGGGUUAACGAUCCGGCGUUGCCGUGAGCUGUGGUGUAGGUUGCAGACGCAGCUUGGGUCUGGCGUUGCUGUGGCUCUGGCGUAGGCCAGUGGCUACAGCUCUGAUUAGACCCCUAGCCUGGGAACCUCCAUAUGCUGCGGGAGCGGCCCAAAGAAAUAGCAAAAA